rnacentral:lncRNA from 1 species
AUUGAUUACUGAACAUAGGCUAACUAUAAUAUUGCACACUUUUAAAUUAUGUCAUUUAAUAAUAACUAGAAUCCUAAAAGUUAAGUGAUUCUCUUACCAUUUUAUAGAUAACGAAUCAAUGCCUUGCCCAAGCCAGUGAGAAAAUGGAAUAAGGACCACACCCCAGCUUGCCCCAGUACAUGUUGCCUUUAGAGCUGUCAUCUAGAAGACCCAACUAUUCCCAAAGAAUUGUUUCCUCUGGUUCUUCCCAGGAAGCUAAGAAAUAUGUGUUUUAAGGGAAGUAUUAUUAUGUAGUGAUAUUGUAGUACAGUGGGCUCUGAGGGCAGCAUAGUCUGAUACCAAGCCCAGCACUACCUCCUAGUUUUCCUGUGAUAUUAGGCAACUUCUUCAAUGUUUCUGAACU